rnacentral:sRNA from 1 species
CGGAAGGGGUUUCAGAUAGGAUACUCCCGAUAUACAACCCCAUAAACAACAUAAACAUAGGCACCGCCAUCCGACCAAUCAAUCAACCCUUGCGGCCGAAGAAAAGCCCGUAAAGAACCCAGGAAUACCAUGCCAUGCGUGUCUGGUGCGUGUGGAACCCCGUAGGAAUGGAGUGAGUGAACGGAACGGAACGAAACGGAACCCCAAGGAACGGAGCAAGUGGGCGAUGUCUGGUGUCUCUUCUAUGGUUUCACCUGCCUCGAAAAACGGGGUCAAAUAUUCACUGGAUCAUCCUCUUUCUCUUUCUCUUCCUACUUCCUGCUCUCACGCUCUCCGCCCCUUGCCCGGGAACGCAAAAACAGCUUUCCAGAGAGAUCUCCUCCGCUCUGGCAUAUCCGCAUCCACAUCCGCACUUCACAGAGAUACAGACAGAGAGACCGAGAGAGAGAAAGAGAGAGAUACAGACCAUGGCAGGUUUGCGUGUGCUCCGUCGACUCCGGGGUCCAAAGUCCAUGUUUUGGCUCAAAGCAUUCGCUUAUAACGGCUCUAGAGACUCCAGUUGUUUCUUUUCCAAAUACCCUACGCCACACAGAGACCAUCACGUCUGUGGAGCCCAGAAAUCGAAUCUCAGUGUGAAAAUAUAUCUUAUUUGUAGAAGUAAAGCCUUGAAAUGUAUCCACUUUCCCAAGACUCA